GACGAACGCUGGCGGCGUGCUUAACACAUGCAAGUCGAGCGGUAAGGCCCUUUCGGGGGUACACGAGCGGCGAACGGGUGAGUAACACGUGGGUGACCUGCCCUCAGCCCUGGGAUAAGCCUGGGAAACCGGGUCUAAUACUGGAUAUGACUCCAUGACGCAUGUUGUGGGGUGGAAAGCCUUGUGCGGCUGAGGAUGGGCCCGCGGCCUAUCAGCUUGUUGGUGGGGUGANGGCCUACCAAGGCGACGACGGGUAGCCGGCCUGAGAGGGCGACCGGCCACACUGGGACUGAGACACGGCCCAGACUCCUACGGGAGGCAGCAGUGGGGAAUCUUGCGCAAUGGGCGAAAGCCUGACGCAGCGACGCCGCGUGAGGGAUGACGGCCUCGGUUGUAA
rnacentral:rRNA from 1 species